GCCUCUAUGGUCUAGUGGUAGGGCGUCUCGCUAGUAACGAGAAUAUCCGCGGUUCAAUUCCGCGUGGAGGCA
rnacentral:tRNA from 1 species